rnacentral:rRNA from 1 species
AUGCCUCAGUAACGGCGAGUGAAGCGGCAACAGCUCAAAUUUGAAAUCUGGCUCACGCCCGAGUUGAAUUUGUAGAGGAUGCUUCGGGUGAAGCCACGGUCCAAGUCCCUUGGAACAGGACGUCAUAGAGGGUGAGAACCCCGUACCUGGCCGUCGGUGCCCCCCCGCUGUGAAGCUCCUUUCGACGAGUCGAGUUUGUUUGGGAAUGCAGCUCUAAAUUGGGUGGUAAAUUCCAUCUAAAGCUAAAUACCGGCCAGAGACCGAUAGCGCACAAGUAGAGUGAUCGAAAGAUGAAAAGCACUUUGAAAAGAGAGUUAAAAAGUACGUGAAAUUGUUGAAAGGGAAGCGCUUGCGGCCAGACUUGCCCGCGGUUGCUCAGCCUGCCUUUUGGCGGGUGCACUCUUCCGCGGUCAGGCCAGCAUCGGUUUGGGCGGUCGGAUAAAGGCGUUGGGAACGUGGCCUCCCCCUCGGGGAGGUGUUAUAGCCCGGCGCGCAAUGCGACCAGCCUGGACCGAGGUUCGCGCUCUGCUAGGAUGCUGGCGUAAUGGCCGUAAGCGGCCCGUCUUGAAACACGGACCAAGGAGUCUAACAUCUAUGCGAGUGUUUGGGUGUCAAACCCGUGCGCGUAAUGAAAGUGAACGGAGGUGGGAACCGCAAGGUGCACCAUCGACCGAUCCUGAUGUCUUCGGAAGGAUUUGAGUAAGAGCAUAGCUGUUGGGACCCGAAAGAUGGUGAACUAUGCGUGAAUAGGGUGAAGCCAGAGGAAACUCUGGUGGAGGCUCGCAGCGGUUCUGACGUGCAAAUCGAUCGUCAAAUUUGCGUAUAGGGGGCGAAAGACUAAUCGAACCAUUUGCGGACCAGCAAAACUAGAUGGUUUAAAGGGCUACGGGCCUUAGUCCUACGGGGCUACACUGCCAAAUUGCGGGGAAACGCCCGGAGUCGGAUGCCCACCGCCCCCCUCACUUCACGGUGGGGAGGGUACCUGAGCAGCGCUCGGGGCAUGGGUAAUAGUGCGUCCCGGCGGGGUCGAUCCGCAGCCGCCCCCCCCGGUUUUGUACCGGGGGAUGGUUCACAGACUUAGACGGCGGUGGGCGUGCGAGCGCUUAAGAUAUAGUCGUCCCGCCUCGAGAAGG